AUGCUUCUCCAUUCAGUUAUUCUGCUCACAGCUUUAGCAUGUGCCAGUAGUGAAGAUACUAUUACAGCAGACAAAACAGAGGAGUUUGCUGAUGAUGGUUCAAAUGUUACUUUAUCCUGCACUUUUUCAUCUGCAUGGUCUUUACUUUGGUACCGUCAGUAUCCUGGAUCAGCUCCCGAGUUCCUUGUAAACAUUGCAGAAAGGUCUAAAAAGGUAGAGAGGUCGAAUACUGAUCACCGAUUUACUACAAAGAUCAGGAUAGAGAAAGAAAAGCAUGUGGAUCUGCUCUUGUCCCCUGCUGCAGUAUCAGACUCUGCUGUGUAUUACUGUGCUCUGACGUCCAUGACCACAGUGACUGAAAACACACAAGCACUGAACAAGAACCUGCCUGUAUAAAGAAACAUGGUGCUACAGUAUGUAUCAGUAAAUAUGUUUUUUUGACUUAAUAAUAGGAGAACUACUGUAAAUCUUGUUUUCCUAGAGUGUAUAAUGCCAU